rnacentral:rRNA from 1 species
CCUCUAAGACGAGGAUAACGACGUGGGAAACGGUACGCUAAAAACUGGAUAGGAUCAUUUGAGGCAUCUCGAAUGAUUUAAAGGGGGCUUUCAAGCCACACUUAGAGAAAGGCCUGCGGCGCAUUAGCUAGUUGGGUGGGGUAGAGGCCUACCAAGGCGAUGAUGCGUAGCCGGACUGAGAGGUCGAACGGCCACAUUGGGACUGAGACACGGCCCAAACUCCUACGGGAGGCAGCAGUAGGGAAGUUUUCGGCAAUGGGGGAAACCCUGACCGAGCAACGCCGCGUGAAUGAAAGACGUAUUUCGGUAUGUAAAGUUCUUUUAUUAAGGAAGAAUAUCACGGAUAGGAAAUGAUCUGUGAGUGACGGUACUUAAUGAAUAAGCCCCGGCUAACUAUGUGCCAGCCGCCGC